rnacentral:rRNA from 1 species
AACGAACGCUGGCGGCAUGCCUAACACAUGCAAGUCGAACGAAACCUUCGGGUCUAGUGGCGCACGGCUGCGUAACGCGUGGGAACAUGCCCUUAGGUUCGGAAUAACUCCCCGACAGGGGUGCUAAUACCGGAUAAUAUCUUAGGACCGAAGAUUUAUCGCGUUGGUUUGUGCCCGCGUUGGAUUCGGUAGUUGGUAGGGUAAUAGCAUACCAAGGCGACGAUUCAUAGCUGGGCUGAGAGGAAGAUCAGCCACACUGGGACUGGGCCACGGCCCAGACUCCUACGGGAGGCGGCAGUGGGGAAUAUUGGACCACCGGGGAAAGCAUGAUCCAGCAAUGACGCGUGAGUUCUGAAGGCCUUAGGGUUGUAAUGCUCUUUUAACCGGGAUGAUAAUGACAGUACCGGGAGAAUAAGCUCCGGCUAACUCCGUG